rfam:Salmo salar isolate Sally breed double haploid chromosome ssa24, whole genome shotgun sequence.
GAUACGUAUAUUUGUAAGUCGCUCUGGAUAAGAGCGUCUGCUAAAUGACGUAAA